GGCAGGGUCAGGGCCUCCUUACCUCUGAAGGCCUCCCCAGUCUGCAGUUCCAGCCGGAGCUCUGGAGCCAGAUGAGGGCAGGGGAUGCUGCAAACCCGCCGGGCUCGCCGCUCAGCCUAUCACAGCCUGCUGACCGCCGGGACACUUGGGGAUGGCGAGGAAACCGUUACCAUUACUGAGUUUA